rnacentral:rRNA from 1 species
AGUGAACGCUGGCGGUAGGCCUAACACAUGCAAGUCGAACGGCAGCACAGUAAGAGCUUGCUCUUACGGGUGGCGAGUGGCGGACGGGUGAGGAAUACAUCGGAAUCUACUUUUUCGUGGGGGAUAACGUAGGGAAACUUACGCUAAUACCGCAUACGACCUACGGGUGAAAGCAGGGGAUCUUCGGACCUUGCGCGAUUGAAUGAGCCGAUGUCGGAUUAGCUAGUUGGCGGGGUAAAGGCCCACCAAGGCGACGAUCCGUAGCUGGUCUGAGAGGAUGAUCAGCCACACUGGAACUGGGACACGGUCCAGACUACUACGGGAGGCCGCAGUGGGGAAUAUUGGACAACGGGGGGAAGCCUGAUCCAGCCAUACCGCGUGGGUGAAGAAGGCCUUCGGGUUGUAAAGCCCUUUUGUUGGGAAAGAAAAGCAGCAGGUUAAUACCCCGCUGUUCUGACGGUACCCAAAGAAUAAGCACCGGCUAACUUCGUG